UAAAUAUUAUACCUCAAAUUAAAAUUGUCCAAUGAGAAAGCUAGAUUUGUGCCAUGUGAUCGUGAAAUUUAUCAUCGUAUCGCGCUUACGUCAUUCGUAUUUGGUGCAGCAGGAAAUUUCAGUCAUAUUCACCGGUGAAUAUGAGUCAAAUUCACCGGUGAAUAUGAUUCGCGAACAUCACGCGAGACCACACGCAAGGCUAAAAAAUGGCGGGAACAAUGUUGUUUGCUUGAAAGGCAAAAAUGACAGAGUCUGACGAGGAAAUAAAUCGAAUUCUCGACGAGAGACAUGCAUAGUGGAUUUACAGUUAAUUUUUACGCAGUUUAGUACUUUUUAUAUUUGUUAUUUAUUUGUGUGGAAAUAAAAUUUGACACCAGC